rnacentral:rRNA from 1 species
CCUUGACAUACUAAGAACUUUCCAGAGAUGGAUUGGUGCCUUCGGGAACUUAGAUACAGGUGCUGCAUGGCUGUCGUCAGCUCGUGUCGUGAGAUGUUGGGUUAAGUCCCGCAACGAGCGCAACCCUUUUCCUUAUUUGCCAGCGGGUUAAGCCGGGAACUUUAAGGAUACUGCCAGUGACAAACUGGAGGAAGGCGGGGACGACGUCAAGUCAUCAUGGCCCUUACGGCCAGGGCUACACACGUGCUACAAUGGUCGGUACAAAGGGUUGCUACCUCGCGAGAGGAUGCUAAUCUCAAAAAGCCGAUCGUAGUCCGGAUCGCAGUCUGCAACUCGACUGCGUGAAGUCGGAAUCGCUAGUAAUCGCGGAUCAGAAUGCCGCGGUGAAUACGUUCCCGGGCCUUGUACACACCGCCCGUCACACCAUGGGAGUUUGUUGCACCAGAAGUAGGUAGUCUAACCGCAAGGAGGACGCUUACCACGGUGUGGCCGAUGACUGGGGUGAAGUCGUAACAAGGUAAGCGUAGAUGA